rnacentral:rRNA from 1 species
UACGAAGGGGGCUAGCGUUGCUCGGAAUCACUGGGCGUAAAGGGUGCGUAGGCGGGUUUUUAAGUCAGGGGUGAAAUCCUGGAGCUCAACUCCAGAACUGCCUUUGAUACUGGGAGUCUUGAGUUCGGGAGAGGUGAGUGGAACUGCGAGUGUAGAGGUGAAAUUCGUAGAUAUUCGCAAGAACACCAGUGGCGAAGGCGGCUCACUGGCCCGAUACUGACGCUGAGGUGCGAAAGCGUGGGGAGCAAACAGG